rnacentral:rRNA from 1 species
ACACCGACGGCCCGAGUGGUGGCCACUAUUAUUGGGUCUAAAGGGUCCGUAGCCGGCCUAACCAGUCCCUCGGGAGAUCUGAAGGCUUAACCUUUGGGCUUCCGGGGGAUACUAUUAGGCUUGGGACCGGGAGAGGUAGGAGGAAUCUCAGGGGUAGGAGUGAAAUCCUGUAAUCCCUGAGGGACCACCAGUGGCGAAGGCGUCCUACCAGAACGGGUCCGACGGUGAGGGACGAAAGCUAGGGGCACGAACCGGAUUAGAUACCCCAGUAGUCC